CCAUUGGUAGCCUGUUUAAGCAUGUAGGAGGAGUUGCCAGGAAAAUCCGGCAGCUCAUUAACUCCGAGGUGUGAUGACGAGGUCCCAUGUGGACCGAAGUGAAUAACGCCCCGCUUCCAGGAAAAGCCUCUAAGCUUCAGAUCACACUGGACCGUACCGUAAACCGACACUGGUGGGUGAGCAGAUAAUCUGCCAAGGCGCUUGAUAGAACUCGGGUUAAGGAACUCUGCAAAUUGAUACCGUAACUUCGGAAGAAGGUAUGCCUUCGACGGUGUAGGGAUUUACUCCCGAAGCUGUUGAAGGUCGCAGGUAAUCGGUGGCUGCGACUGUUUAUCAAAAACACAGGACUCUGCGAACACGCAAGUGGAAGUAUAGGGUCUGACGCCUGCCCGGUGCCGGAAGGUUAAUUGAUGGGGUUAGCCGCAAGGCGAAGCUCUUGAUCGAAGCCCCGGUAAACGGCGGCCGUAACAAUAACGGUCCUAAGGUAGCGAAAUUCCUUGUCGGGUAAGUUCCGACCUGCACGAAUGGCGUAACGCUGGCCACACUGUCUCGACCCGAGACUCAGUGAAGUUGAAAUCGCUGUGAAGAUGCGGCGUUCCCGCGGCAAGACGGAAAGACCCCGUGAACCUUCACUACAGCUUUACAUUGAACUUUGAAUCUUCCUGUGUAGCAUAGGUGGGAGGCUUUGAAGCCUGGGCGCUAGCUCAGGUGGAGCCAACGUUGAAAUACCACCCUGGGAUAUUCGGAGUUCUAACCUUGGUCCGUAAUCCGGAUUGGGGACAAUGUAUGGUGGGUAGUUUGACUGGGGCGGUCUCCUCCCAAAGAGUAACGGAGGAGUGCAAUGGUACGCUCAGCGCGGUCGGUCAUCGCGCUCUAGAGUGCAAAGGCAUAAGCGUGCUUAACUGUGAGACAGACACGUCGAACAGGUACGAAAGUAGGUCUUAGUGAUCCGGUGGUUCUGUAUGGAAGGGCCAUCGCUCAACGGAUAAAAGGUACUCCGGGGAUAACAGGCUUAUUCCUCCCAAGAGUCCACAUCGACGGAGGAGUUUGGCACCUCGAUGUCGGCUCAUCACAUCCUGGGGCUGUAGCAGGUCCCAAGGGUAUGGCUGUUCGCCAUUUAAAGUGGUACGCGAGCUGGGUUCAGAACGUCGUGAGACAGUUCGGUCCCUAUCUGCCGUGGGCGUUGGAAACUUGAGGGUGAGCUGUCCUUAGUACGAGAGGACCGGGAUGGACGUAUCUCUGGUGUUCCGGUUGUCACGCCAGUGGCACUGCCGGGUAGCUAUAUACGGACGGGAUAAGCGCUGAAAGCAUCUAAGCGCGAAGCCCCCCCC
rnacentral:rRNA from 1 species